rnacentral:lncRNA from 1 species
AUUUAUACCAAUAUUCCUAAAAUGCCAAUUUGUCCAAAAUUUACUUAGUUUACCAAAUUAUAGAUUUUAUUUAUUUAUUUUACCUUGUGCUUGAGGGAAUUUAUCCUCUUAUCUACACCCGCAAUAUGGGGAGCACAUCUGUGAAGACCCCUCACCAUCCGUAGAAGCCUGGUAGGUCAACACGAUGCCCAAGGCUGGCUGCAAUGUGCAGGUGCUUGGAGUGUAGUGGCACUCCCACACACAAGACUUGUGCGCAAAUGCACACCAGCAUGCAUCAUAGUGCCAUGAACAUGCCCGCACGACUGUGACGACAACAACUACAACUAUUAUGAUGAUUACAACUAUUAAGACAAUGACUACGAGUCUGACAACCUAUCUAUGUAGUGGAUUGGUUAUUCAAAGUACAUCUCCAACAACAUCAAAAAAAUUAAAAACUAAACAUCGUAAUACUUGGUUCCUAAGGGUAAUUAAACCUACUGAACCAUAUCAGUACAUUAUUCUGGUUGUUCUUAUCCGUGAAUGGCACCAACAUCUUU